UGCUGCACAGUAAAAAUGAUGAUGAUGAAGGUGAUAAUCCCCUGAAUGCAGUAGCAAGAGCAUGUUAACGCUGAAUGAGUGAGAUGAGACUUCCUGGUUAAUGCAGCACUCCGUCGCUGAGCCAAUCAGCAGCAGCACAGGAACUUAACUACGUGCUCUGAUUGGGUAGCUUCUCAGGCAUCCGCCAAUAGCAUCUCUUGUAUGAAAUCAACUGGGCAAACCAACUGAGGAAGCAAAUACCAGAAGUAAAAAGACCCAUUGUCCGCAGAAACCCGCGAAGCAGCGAAAAAUCCGCGUUAUAUAUUUAGAUAUGCUUACAUAUAAAAUCUGCGAAGUCAUGAAUCCGCGAAAAGUGAACCGCGAAGUAGCGAGGACUUACUGUAGUAGAUAAAUCUAAAUAAUACAUUUUAGAAGACAUUUUUUCUCUGUGAUUUAGCCGCUUACCCCUUGAUGUCGACUUUUGCGGAUACCUGACUUUUUUACCUUUUAUGUCAACUAUUGAGUGUUAGGGUUCAUCUCACUUUUAUAGUAUUAUUAAUAAGGUACUUAUGGUCUAACGGAUCAAUUCAAGUGAACCAAACUGGUAUAAUACAUCAAAAAUUGUUGCUGAACAAUACUUACUCUUUAGUGACCCCACAACAGACAGACUGACAUCAACCCCCAUGUUUCUCACACUUGGGGUUUUGGGUGGUGGCUAGGCUGUAUUACUACUUAUUUUGCCAAGUGCAUAUAGAAUUACAAAAUAGCUUGCACCUAUACAAUGUAUAUAAGUAAAUCUUACAAUUUUGUAGCACUGUCACAGAAAUUUAACCCUCUAUCAUACUUUCUAUCAUGCUUUUUUUUUUUUUUUGUCUUUUCCCUUUAUUUGUGUAUUGAAGGGUGGAUGGUUAGUGAAGGGCUGCAUCUGCAUAAAGGAGGGAAAAAAAUCCGUCAAGGAUAUACCUUCACUUAA